UGAACUCAACAAAUGGGUGGGGGCUGGAGCGCAAGCUGUGUUUAGUAAAAGUAGAGAAUGAUUAGUUUAGUCAAGCUUGCGUUUGGCUUAAUCAUAAAGAAAAGAAUGUGACUAACUAACGAUAUCCAAUCCACUUGGUCUAUAAGUAUAUGUAUACUAACAAUUUUGUCGGAAAUUGAGCUUAAACAUUGUGUGAGACUUGUUGCGGGUAUGGUGGGUCGUCGGAAAGGGAGCGGAGAUGUGAACCGAAUACUUCCGUCGAUGGUUCCGGUUCAGUGCCACUGCCGCAACGCCGUAGGUCAUGUAUUUGCUGGUAUUAUUGCUUCGAAUCAUUGCUAGUGGUCUUCAACAAGAUCUGAUCCUCCCAUUUGGUGAAGGCUUCAUUUUUUGUUUUUAUCUCCUUUUUGGAAUUGUUUGCCAUGUGUAGGAGCCCAAU